UACGUAGGGUGCAAGCGUUGUCCGGAAUUAUUGGGCGUAAAGAGCUCGUAGGCGGUUUGUCGCGUCUGCCGUGAAAACUCGGGGCUUAACUCCGGGCCUGCAGUGGGUACGGGCAGACUAGAGUGCGGUAGGGGAGACUGGAAUUCCUGGUGUAGCGGUGAAAUGCGCAGAUAUCAGGAGGAACACCGGUGGCGAAGGCGGGUCUCUGGGCCGUAACUGACGCUGAGGAGCGAAAGCGUGGGGAGCGAACAGG
rnacentral:rRNA from 1 species